AUACGUAGGGGGCGAGCGUUGUCCGGAAUGAUUGGGCGUAAAGGGCGCGUAGGCGGCGCGGUAAGUCUGGAGUGAAAGUCCUGCUUUCAAGGUGGGAAUUGCUUUGGAUACUGCCGCGCUUGAGUGCAGGAGAGGUUAUCGGAAUUCCCGGUGUAGCGGUGAAAUGCGUAGAGAUCGGGAGGAACACCAGUGGCGAAGGCGGGUAACUGGACUGCAACUGACGCUGAGGCGCGAAAGUGUGGGGAGCAAACAGGAUUAGAUACCCUGGUAGUCCACACUGUAAACGAUGAAUGCUAGGUGUAAGAGGUAUCGACCCCUUUUGUGCCGGAGUCAACACAAUAAGCGUUCCGCCUGGGGAGUACGGCCGCAAGGUUGAAACUCAAAUGAAUUGACGGGG
rnacentral:rRNA from 1 species